CUUCAACGGAGAGUUUGAUCCUGGCUCAGGAUGAACGCUGGCGGCGUGCUUAACACAUGCAAGUCGAACGAUGAUCCCAGCUUGCUGGGGGAUUAGUGGCGAACGGGUGAGUAACACGUGAGUAACCUGCCCUUAACUCUGGGAUAAGCCUGGGAAACUGGGUCUAAUACCGGAUAUGACUCCUCAUCGCAUGGUGGGGGGUGGAAAGCUUUUUGUGGUUUUGGAUGGACUCGCGGCCUAUCAGCUUGU
rnacentral:rRNA from 1 species